rnacentral:tRNA from 1 species
UGGGGUAUCGCCAAGCGGUAAGGCAGCGGGUUUUGAUCUCGCCAUCCCCCCCCCCCCCCCCCCCCCCCUAGGUUCGAAUCCUAGUACCCCAGCCA